rnacentral:rRNA from 1 species
UAGCAUAUCAAUAAGCGGAGGAAAAGAAACUAACAAGGAUUCCCCUAGUAACGGCGAGUGAAGUGGGAAAAGCUCAACUUUGAAAUCUGGCACCUUCGGUGUCCGAGUUGUAGUCUCAAGAAGUGUUUUCUGUGCUGGUCCAUGUAUGAGUCUGUUGGAACACAGCGUCAUAGAGGGUGACAACCCCGUUCAUGACAUGGAUACCAGUGCUUUGUGAUACACUCUCGAAGAGUCGAGUUGUUUGGGAAUGCAGCUCAAAUUGGGUGGUAAAUUCCAUCUAAAGCUAAAUAUUGGCGAGAGACCGAUAGCAAACAAGUACCGUGAGGGAAAGAUGAAAAGCACUUUGGAAAGAGAGUUAACAGUACGUGAAAUUGUUGAAAGGGAAACGAUUGAAGUCAGACGUGCGUGAUGCGGUUCAGCACUGGUUCGCCAGUGUGUAUUCCGUAUCUUUGCAGGCCAACAUCAGUUUCGGUAGUCGGAUAAAGGUUAGUUGAAUGUGGCACCCUCGGGUGUGUUAUAGCUUCUAACUGAAUACGAUUUCUGGGACUGAGGAACGCAGCGCGCCGCAAGGCAAAGGUUCCGACCUUUUCGCGCUUAGGAUGUUGGUGAAAUGGCUUUAAACGACCCGUCUUGAAACACGGACCAAGGAGUCUAACAUGCUUGCGAGUGUUUGGGUGGCAAACCCAUACGCGUAAUGAAAGUGAAUGGAGGUGGGAUCCUUUACCGGAGCACCAUCGACCGAUCCGGAUUUUUAAUGAAGGGUUUGAGUAAGAGCACGUAUGUUGGGACCCGAAAGAUGGUGAACUAUGCCUGAAUAGGGUGAAGCCAGAGGAAACUCUGGUGGAGGCUCGUAGCGGUUCUGACGUGCAAAUCGAUCGUCAAAUUUGGGUAUAGGGGCGAAAGACUAAUCGAACCAUCUAGUAGCUGGUUCCUGCCGAU